GCCUGGGUGGCGAAAUUGGUAGACGCAGCGGAUUCAAAAUCCGCCGCCUUUGCGGGUGUGUCGGUUCGAGUCCGACCCUAGGCACCA
rnacentral:tRNA from 2 species